AGUUUGAACCUCUAGUUCUGACUCCAGGACCAUGCAGCACCCUCCAGGGUCGUUCACCAACCUUGGUUAGGUAACCCUGAACAUAGCCAGGUACUUCAGCAUAUGCUGCCCGUGCAACUUCCUGCUGUAUAAAGGAUGGUCUAACCAGCACCUCCUGAUCAGAGGCUGCAGAUGCCACCGCAUACUUCUUCCUGCGCUUGGGUUUCACCGUGCCACGGAUAUUCGCAGGCUUGCUGCGCUUGGAGCGUAGAGUAAUGUACACCACGUUGGGCUGCAAUGUGCUUCCAUUGCCCUGCAACUCUGGAGGGGCCAGGGUACCAUCCAGGGGAAUCUCCGGGAAGGGUACCUUGAAGAUGUCGUGGCCGUUGGGUGGUCCCCUGUCAGUCGUCUGCCCAUGCUGAAAGGAACCUCUGCCCACCUGGCUCACCAGAAAGCCCAGGUAGAUGGCACAGGCAGUGCCCAGCAGGAGGUUCCGUCUGGUCCUGGGACGCCGACUACUCCAAAGUUUACACACUCGUGGGGCGCACAGGGAGCAGACAAACCAGUUUAUGAGCUGCCCCGGCUUGUCUGGACAGGUCAUUUCUCUGCCGCUUCCACAUGCUGAACUAAGUUUAAAGUCUGCAGCUGGCUCCGGGUGACAUGAUUCAUGGCUUCCUGAAUCCAGCCGUCCAGUCCGCUUCGCUAUCUAAGUGGUCUCCAACAGGCAGAGAGUAUCGUAUGUCUGAAUGGGUACAGAAAACAGGAGCUCUUUAAACCUACACCUGUGGUAUAUGUAUCACUCACAAAUAUCACUCACAAAUAUCAAAGGGAAACAAGAGAUCAAGAAGUCUGUUUGUUUCCUAAUGAGAGGCAGAAGGUCUGGAUCUGGGUGAGAAGGAAAGCAGGGAGCAGCUGAGAGGAGCAGAAGGAGGAAAAUACCAUAAUCUGGACAUAUAAUGUGAGGAGAAAAAAAUCUAUUUCCAAUAAAAGAAAUAAAAUUUAAAUGGUUGAG
rnacentral:lncRNA from 1 species